UGUUUCACGGCCGCGGUAUCCAUAACCGUGCGAAGGAAGCGUAAUCACUUGUUCUUUAAAUGAGGACUAGUAUGAUUGGCACCACGAGGGUUAUACUGUCUCCUCUUUCCAAUCAGUGAAACUAAUCUCCCCGUGAAGAAGCGGGGAUAAAACUAUAAGACGAGAAGACCCUAUGGAGCUUUAAAAUUCUCUUCAGGCGCCAGACUACUCUUACGGGUCACCAACCCUUUAUACUUACCCACGGCACCAUGAAAAUGACUUUUAGGUUGGGGUGACCACGGAGCAUAAAAAACCCUCCACGCUGAACUAGGCCUCCAAACCUUGAGCACAGGGCUACAACCCAAAGCACUAAAAAACUAACACCCAUUGACCCAAUGUAUUUGAUCAACGAACCAAGUUACCCUAGGGAUAACAGCGCAAUCCACUUCAAGAAUCCCUAUCGACAAGUGGGUUUACGACCUCGAUGUUGGAUCAGGGUAUCCCAGUGGUGCAGCCGCUACUAA
rnacentral:rRNA from 1 species